GGGGUUGUUGUCUAGCUUGGUAUGAUGCCAGCCUCGGGCGCUGGAGAUCGUCGGUUCGAAUCCGACCAGCCCCA
rnacentral:tRNA from 1 species